CUCCGCCCGUCGCCGCGCGCGCGUCGUCCUCCGCCGCCGCCUCAAGCUGGGGCUCAUCAUGGCGACAGCGGGCGCCUCCGCCCUCCGCCUCCCGCGUGACCAGCAGGGGCGGCUUCAGCUUGUUCUUAGAACCUGGGUGUGGGGGCAGUCGCUCCGCUUCUUGGACACCUCAAUUCUUGCAGGCGCCUUCAGCAGACACCACCAGUGCAGCAGUACCCCACCACUUGCAGGCUCCUUACAUCGGCGCUCCCAUGGUUGUCCGCCUCAUCCGAGAAGCAGCCCAGGUGGUGCUGCUCACCACGGCAGCCAUGGGAGUGCUGGUGGGAUGGCUACGGCAACAUGUUGAAGUGGAUGGCCGCCACAUCCUUGUGAUCUUGGUAUAGGUGCGGCACUCCAGCUGGCUCAUGUCUCUCUUGCCAAUCGACUUAAGCUUGAUCGCAAGAAAGAGAGACACCGAGUCAUCAAGCAGAACAAGCUGCAAAGAUGCACCCCUGCAUCCUCGUCAACUGCAAGAGUAGUGAGACUCCAACAACAGGUGCUCUUUCAGAUAUAUAUACUGGAGUCAUGUAGCUUCGAGUUGUUUUCCAGUACAUUGAAUUGUCAAACUUCGACAUUGCUGGCAAUGCUCUGAAUACGUUCAAGGUAAAUUUAAACUUCAAAAUUUCUACUCCUAUUUAUUUGCAUGCUUACUCUUGCAUAUUGCUGCAUCAAUCAGGAAGUUAUGAUUAAGUUGCACGUAGCAACUUUGCAACUGUGAGUGAUUAAAACUUGGUUGGUUGGAAUUUAGUAAUUAGGAGGUUAAGCUUGUUAGUGGUUGAAAAAGUGUACAUAAAGGAGGAACAUGUGUUUCAUUGACAUCAUGACCAGGGACUGAUGAGUAUCUAUCUACAACUAACAGUUAACCUACUUAUUUUUUUUGGAGGAAAUUGAUUCUGACUAGCAAGAAUUUAGCGCAGCUGUUUCUGUUUGUAUUCUUGUGGACGAAUCAGCUAGGUUUUCCUCUCUUUUUUUUCCUGAAUACCACCACAUGUUGUUAGCCCUGACUUCCACGGAUGCUUUUAAACUCAUGCAUAACGCUGUGUGCCUGUGUGUUUUUAGUUUGAUGUUAGGUAGAUGCUGCAAUGCUUAUUCCUUUUGCCAAGAAAAAAAUGCUUGUGGAGGGUCAGAGGGAAUGAGUUCCUGCUCACCACGAUCUUGAAGCUGCUGGUCAAGAAAAAAAGGCCUUGGAAAGGUACACAAAUAGGAUGGUACUUACCUGAUGAUGGCAUACAACAAAUCUUUGAGCUCUGACAAAUGGUUUCUAUACCCCAGUUCUAACAGGUUUUAAUGAUUUCCAUACAACAGUUCUGAACAAGUAUCAGCAAGGAAAUUUUGAGACACUUAUGCUCAACUUUUGAUCUUUCACAGCCUAUGGUAACCUGAAGUAAUCUACACUAUCAGUGAUAUAUGUCUACUUCUUUGUAUAUUCCGAACCUUAUGUGUUUGUCGUUAAUUUGUCAAGAACGUCUGUUCAUAUAUAACUCUAACACAUAGAAAUGCAUACUUCAGAAGUUACCCCAUGCUAUAGAAAUCCAUUGCGACGGCUUAUCUACUUCGUCUUCCUUGUGCAGAAGUUUGAAAAGCGGAACUAAGCAAUGACAGUGGGAGUCUCAGCAAUAAUAAGCUCGAUCAAUGGGUUAGGAAGGGAUUUCGGAAUGACAACAAGUCUUAGAAGCUUGCAAGUCACUUAUAGAGAUGGAUGCGUGGUUCACCGGCUUGCUGGACGGCCUUAGGUGUUUCCGCUCGGCCUGCCAGGAACUGCAUUACGUCAAGCUCUCAGGGUACAGACCUACUGUCUCGUUAAUCCUGAGAUGGAAUGGUGUGCCUGGCUGCAGUGCCGCCACAAGUUGAGCGCGGUGUCCAAGGAUGAGCUGCGGAGGAGGGAGGGAGGGAGGCUGCUCAGCGAUGAGGUGUUCUAUGCUAGGGGGAACUAUAGCGAGGUGUCAAAUGUCCUGUACUAAAAGUAAUACAUAUGCUCAUCAUUCCCUGCUCUCAGUGUUUAUUUCUCAUGAGAUAGUGAAAAAUUUUGUUCUCAAGAUUCACUUUGCUUUUGCUUU